rnacentral:rRNA from 1 species
AAUAUCAUGCUGAAUAUACCGGUUCUCGUUAGAUCACCGAAGUUAAGCAUCAUUGGGCGCGGUCAGUACUUGGGUGGGUGACCACCUGGGAACACCGCGUGCCGUU